rnacentral:misc_RNA from 1 species
AACGCACGAGACCUGCGGACCUGCGGAAGGAUCAUUACCGAGUACCGGGUCUCUCAGGCCCUUACUCCCACCCUUUUGUUUACCUUUACCACUUAAUUUCAGUUGCCUUGGUGGGUCUUUUUCCCUUCCUGAUUCCCUAGGAAUUAGGGGGGAAGAGCCCGCCAGGGGGACGCACCUAAACUCUUAUCAAUUGAGUCGUCUGAGAAAAUAAAAUUCAAAUGAAUUAAAACUUUUAACAAU